rnacentral:rRNA from 1 species
AACGAACGCUGGCGGCAUGCCUAACACAUGCAAGUCGAACGAGGUUUCCGCUUCGGCGGGACCCUAGUGGCGCACGGGUGAGUAACGCGUGGGAACCUGCCCUGUGGUACGGAAUAACUCCGGGAAACUGGAGCUAAUACCGUAUGUGUCCUGCGGGACAAAGAUUUAUCGCCACGGGAUGGGCCCGCGUAGGAUUAGCUUGUUGGUGGGGUAACGGCUCACCAAGGCGACGAUCCUUAGCNGGUCUGAGAGGAUGAUCAGCCACACUGGGACUGAGACACGGCCCAGACUCCUACGGGAGGCAGCAGUGGGGAAUAUUGGACAAUGGGCGCAAGCCUGAUCCAGCAAUGCCGCGUGAGUGAGGAAGGCCUUAGGGUUGUAAAGCUCUUUCACCCGCGACGAUGAUGACGGUAGCGGGAGAAGAAGCCCCGGCUAACUUCGUGCCAGCCGCCGCGGU